CUCUAUCAGAGAAUCAAACAUUUUUACCAGAAAUGCUAAUCUCUUCCAAGAAAGAAGUCUGCAAAUUAGAAUCCGUUAAAAAGUUCUAAGAGAAAUGAAAUUCAGGUAACUUUUCCUUCACAGUGUCCAUAGGGUUUCUGUUAAAUAUCUUGUUACUGUCGAAAAGUUCAUUUUGUUGGAUGCAUGAAGAAGGUCUGUGAAGACGGUGGGGAAAGAAAGGCAGAACGGCCAAGGCAAAAUCCAGGGGAGGUGGUGGCAACUUUGACCCGGCUGGCAAUGGUCAUUCCAUCAAAAUCAUUCAUGAGCAGUUACUUUAUGACAAUGUGAUAAGUACAAAGGAAGGAUGGAAAGAAGAAAAACAGAAGAGCAAAUGGAAUCCCAAAGAGAGACGGCUGCUUUUUCCACCUGCCCCUACAACUGUCUCAAGUGGCACCUCAGACAUUUGUUUCCCAGUGAACCUACACUGACUGUUUCCCAAUGAAAUCCUACACUGACAAAUUGCUUUCAUCGUUGAAUAGAAUUGAGAGGAAAUAGUGGUGAGCCCAAGGCAAGAGGGUAAGGAUAAGUCUCUCAGGUUGUUGUUCCCAAAAAGUCAAUGAAAGCAAAAACCUAUGGCUUGGUGAGUAUCCCCAAAGCGUGGAGGGAAACUAUUUGGAGAUACAUACGGAGAAGGAGGAUGGUGGCUGUCACCAGGAAGGCAGCGAGGAGUCACAACAGAACUCAGAACUCAGUCCACAGCCGCAGAGCUGAGGGGGGUUCUGUAGAGUGAGGUUCACCAGCCACAUGCCCAGUCAGGACAAGCAAGAACAGGCGGCUUCACGGUCAUGCACUGAACUAUCCCUCUGUGGGUCACAAUGUUGGGGGGUGGGGAGGAUAGGUGGAUACAGGACUUCUCGCUGGGCCUGGGGACUUCCCCUCGGACUUUCCCCAGGGUCAAGAACCAAUUAGACAGAGGAUUGAAGAAGCAACCAAUAAUGAGGAGGACUGAAAAUAAACAGACCUCAUUGGCCAGUGGAGACUGGGGCAGGGCAAAUGUCAGGGUAUAUUCCUGCACCUUCACCUUUCAUCCUCACCCUUCUCCUGGGUCCCCGUGGGUGGCUCUAUAGAAGCUCUCUGGCUCUUACUGAAGCAAAUUGGCUCUGCAGCCCACUCUUUGAGUCCAACCUUUUCCUUUGAGCUGUAACACUUUCCACAUUACAGCAAUUCUUGAGCAUAGACUGCGGAAAAACCUGUCCAUGACUCAACCAAGAAACGCAAGAAACGCCUUUGGAGAGGCCGGGUGGGGGCAGAUGCUUGUUGGGGGAGCAGAGGAGGUUCUCCCUCACCACUCUGUCUAAGUGCGGCCUGGUGUGGAGGCAGCAACUGAAGAUGAAGAAUGGAUUUACUGUGACACAAUGGUUAUAGGAUUUGAGAACUAAUGGAGCCCACUAGUUAGCGUGGUAAAAAGUUUCAACCCAGCAGAGUUACUGAAAAGAACAUGUCUCCCUGCUAACACUUCAGCAGCAUGAUUCCAGUACACUGUAUAAUACUUUAAGAAAGGAAAUUGCUUUGUCUCAUAUCCUUCAUAUUUAGGGUGACAUUUUCAUUAAUUUCACAAAUGUUUACUGAUCACUCACUGUAUACUGGGCACUGUACUUUGUAGAAUAACAUGUAUUCAGAUACGUACUCCUCAACUUAGGUCUGAAAAACACAUUUGUUUUGUUUAUUUAAUGUCUGUUUUGAUGGUUUUACCAUGGCUGAAGGCUAAGCAUAAAAGAUGAAAAAUAGUCUGCAAAGUACACAAAUUCAAAACUAAGUGAUUGUCAUGUCAACAUGUUUCAAAGAGAGGUCUAAAGUGUUAAGAGGUCUAAGCUGUUCCCACAAUUCCUCUAACAAAGAAAGAGUGUUUGGUAUAAUAUCCAGAUAAAAACCUUGGAUACAAAGUGAGAGGAUGGUAAACUAGGGUUUGGCAGCAAUAAUUAUAGUGGAGUUGAGAGUCUAGAUAGCAGAGAGGGUUGAAAACAUAAGAACAGGUCCAAAUUAAGAAGGAUGUAAGAUCUAAAGAUGAAUUAGAUGGGGGCAUGAGAAAAAAAGGAAUGGCUUAUGAUAAUUUUUUGAUUUGACUACCUAGAAACUGAAGUCAUGAAGCAGAAUGGAAUAUUUAUAGGGGAAAAUUUCUAAUUCCUUUCUGAUAUAUUCAACCUGAACUACCCAUGAGAUAUUAGCUAAUACUUCCCAGAUAUUUUCAAUGGCAACAGAAUAUCUAAGUUUAUCUGUGCUUUCCUCAUUCUAAGAAGAUCUGUUCCACAUACUUCAUGGAAAAAAGCAAAAAUUUAAUUUCUCAAAGUUAAUGUAGUAAAAAUCCUUUUCCUAAGGUAAUGAUCUUUAUAUCUUCUCCAAUCCCUAUCAACGCCCAUUAGUCUAAGUUGAAAGAAACAUGGUACUUCAACUCUGAAAAGCUAAUCAUCCCUCAUAUACAUCUGAUCUCAAUUUCUUCCAAAUUGUUAAAAAUCUUCCUCUGUCAGUUCUUCCCUUCUUUCUCUCAUAUGUAUUCAACUGCUAUUGAUUCCUUUCUCACUAUAUUAUAUAUGUAAAAAUGUUAGCCUUGGUAUAUAAUACCCACUCCACAUAUACAUACAUAUACACACAUA